rnacentral:rRNA from 1 species
GACACGGCCCAAACUCCUACGGGAGGCAGCAGUAGGGAAUUUUCGUCAAUGGGGGGAACCCUGAACGAGCAAUGCCGCGUGAGUGAGGAAGGUCUUCGGAUCGUAAAGCUCUGUUGUAAGAGAAAAACGGCACUCAUAGGGAAUGAUGAGUGAGUGAUGGUAUCUUACCAGAAAGUCACGGCUAACUACGUGCCAGCAGCCGCGGUAAUACGUAGGUGGCGAGCGUUAUCCGGAAUGAUUGGGCGUAAAGGGUGCGUAGGUGGCAGAUCAAGUCUGGAGUAAAAGGUAUGGGCUCAACCCGUACUGGCUCUGGAAACUGAUCAGCUAGAGAACAGAAGAGGACGGCGGAACUCCAUGUGUAGCGGUAAAAUGCGUAGAUAUAUGGAAGAACACCGGUGGCGAAGGCGGCCGUCUGGUCUGGAUUCUGACACUGAAGCACGAAAGCGUGGGGAGCAAAUAGGAUUAGAUACCCUAGUAGUCCACGCCGUAAACGAUGAGAACUAGGUGUUGGGGGAAUAACUCAGUGCCGCAGUUAACGCAGUAAGUUCUCCGCCUGGGGAGUAUGCACGCAAGUGUGAAACUCAAAGGAAUUGACGGGGGCCCGCACAAGCGGUGGAGUAUGUGGUUUAAUUCGAAGCAACGCGAAGAACCUUACCAGGCCUUGACAUCCCUUGCAGAGGUAUAGAGAUAUAUCCGAGGUUAUCAAGGAGACAGGUGGUGCAUGGUUGUCGUCAGCUCGUGUCGUGAGAUGUUGGGUUAAGUCCCGCAACGAGCGCAACCCUUGUGAUAUGUUACUAACAUUGAGUUGAGGACUCAUAUCAGACUGCCGGUGAUAAACCGGAGGAAGGUGGGGAUGACGUCAAAUCAUCAUGCCCCUUAUGGCCUGGGCUACACACGUACUACAAUGGCGUCUACAAAGAGCGGCAAGCCUGUGAAGGCAAGCGAAUCUCAUAAAGGACGUCUCAGUUCGGAUUGAAGUCUGCAACCCGACUUCAUGAAGCUGGAAUCGCUAGUAAUCGCGAAUCAGCAUGUCGCGGUGAAUACGUUCUCGGGCCUUGUACACACCGCCCGUCAAACCAUGGGAGUUGGUAAUGCCCGAAGCCGGUGGCAUAACCCUUCGGGGAGUGAGCCGUCGAAGGCAGGACCGAUGACUGGGGUUAAGUCGUAACAAGGUAUCCCUACGGGAACGUGGGGAUG